AAAGCCCUUAGGCUUAGCUGCACUUAUCCAACGCAAAAGAUCAGUAUAUGCCAGCUAGCAGGGCAACUUCCUUUUGGCCUGUUGCCAAGCCUUACUCGGUCAGCUCCCUUACACCCUGUUGUUAAUUUGAAAGCCAUAUGUUAUACAUACUUAAGGCAUGUAUUUAAGGUUUAAUUAGCAAAGAUUCUCUCCUGCUGUGUUCAAGCAUGACAAGUUAAGUCACCAGCUCGCACCGUCCCACAGGCACAGCAUUGUUGAUGUAACUAGCUAAAACAUGUGGGAGGUGCAUUAGUCUCAACCGCAGGCGCGGCGGCGGCCAUACUCCACCCCCUGUCUUUGCACUGGUGCCGAUAUGCAUGUGACCGACUACCAAACCAGUUGGCACAGUUGGUGCAGUGAAAAGGCUGGGAGGAGUCCGGAGCUACAUCCGGUCUGUAAAUGAUCUUUCGUGGUUUGGAUGCCACCUCCAGCGCAUUCAAUGACAUGGCAAACUGGCUAAUGUAACCAGUAAGAAUGAUCACAAUGUGUAGGAAUAGCAGAGCAUUCACGUUUGUAUCAAUCGUUGAGCUUCUAAUGCUUCUACACAACCAAGCAUUUGGUCCCGCCAUGACAAAAGAGCAUCCUAUUCUAUGGCAGGUUCUGGCAAGGAUUUAAAUGAUGCAAUCAACAAAGUUCGGUAGCCACGAAACAACUUCCCAAUAUUGAAUUUGCAGCCAUGUGAACUUUAUACCAUGCUGUACACUUCCGGACCAGGGUCCGGAAUUGUACGGCUUUUCCCCUCUUGCUGCCCAAAAGUCAUGUGAACGUGGACAAUUUGCAACACCAAUAAGAAACGUCACUGCGUUUAGCACUAUGUGAUUGCUGUGCAAAUUGCACCAUCUGGUACCUCCCAGCCCCACCUUCGUCGCUGCCGCUGCUACUCCGUUGCUAAUUCCCCCCGCCGCCGUGCCUGCUGUUGAGACUAAUAGCCCUCCCAGCCCCACCUUCAUCGCUGAAGCUGCUACUCCGUUGCUAUCUCCCGCCGCCGCCGCGCCUCCUGUUCAGAUUAAUGCAUCUCCCAGCCCCACCGCCGUCGCUGCUGUUGCUACUCCGUUGCUAAUUCCCGCCGCCACCGCGCCUGCCAUUUAGGCUACUGCACCUCCCAGCCCCAACGCCGUCGCGGCCGCUGCUACUCCGUUGCUAAUUCCCCCAGCCGCCGCGCCUGCUGCUCUUGCUAUUUCCCCCCCCACCACGCCUGCCGUUUAGGCUACUGCACCUUCCGACCCCACCGCCGUCACUGCCACUUCUGCUGCGUUGCUAAUUCCCGCCGCCGCCACGCCUGCCAUUUAGGCUACUGCACCUCCCAACCCCACUGCCGUCGCUGCCACUGCUGCUGCGUUGCUAAUUCCCGACGCCGCCACGCCUGCCGUUUAGGCUACUGCACCUCCCAACCCCACUGCCGUCGCUGCCACUGCUGCUGUGUUGCUAAUUCCCGCCGCCGCCGUGCCUGCCAUUUAGGCUACUGCACCUCCCAGCCUCAACGCCGUCGCUGCUGCUGCUGCUGCUGCUGCAUUGCUAUUUCCUGCCACCGCCGCGCCUGCCAUUUAGGCUACUGCACCUCCUAGCCCCACCUUCGUCGCGGCCGCUGCUACUCCGUUGCUAAAUCCUGCCGCCGCCGCGCCUGCUGCUGUUGCUAUUUCCCCCCGCCGCCGCGCCUGCCGUUUAGGCUACUGCACCUCCCAGCCCCAACGCCGUCGCUGCCGCUGCUGCUGUGUUGCUAUUUCCCGCCGCCGUCACGCCUGCCGUUUAGGCUACUGCACCUCCCAACCCCACUGCCGUCGCUGCCACUGCUGCUGCGUUGCUAUUUCCCGAGCUCAGAUAAUUAACCGCUCAUCGGUAACCGCUCCCGUGAGCACAGCAAUUUGCCAGAUAUAAUUCUCAAGAAGGGGUGAUGUGCGCCAACAGAAUCCCAACCUUUCCGUGGAAUUCCCAAAGCUGCGAAACCCUGAAUGCGGCCCCAAAAGUCAACAAUCACAUGAUUGGUCGCAUACUGGUCCAUUUCUAACAUCGGUAUACUUGCGGCAUAAGGCAAGAAAUGUGCUAAGGACGGUCGUACAUUUACAAAGCGUUUUCCUCUGCAUGAAGACUGUCACGCGGAAAAUUCAAUCUCAUUACCGUAAGAUUAUCAUACCAUGUCUUACAGUUUAGCUUUUCGCAAUUCCAUACUAGCUUCGUUCACCGCAAUGAACCUGGCCCGGAGCUGCGUAAUCCGGUAGCUAAAAUUGCGUAAUGGAGUAGCUGCUGUGCUUAAUGGGUAACUGCAUCUUA
rnacentral:lncRNA from 1 species